rnacentral:lncRNA from 1 species
GAUGUAACGGUAUCUGGGGAGCAGGCAUUGAUCAUCCACUUUUUGGAACACAGAAAGCAAACAGUUUUCGUCGAUGUGUUUCCAUGUUUUCUGUGGGUCUUUUCCAACCUGGUAGGUAGCUUCUGCUUCUCUCGCCACGGAACUCCAUUUCCUCGUACACGAGGCAACGGACCGACUGGACUCGGCUGAAGGGACGUGUCCGAGCGCCCGGUAAUUAACAUGUCCCUCAGCAACGCCAUAAUCAGAGGCCUCCUCCGAGGCUGCCACGGCAAGCCUCCUGUUUUCAAGGGUUAUGAGUUUCUGCUCUCACAUCUCUUCUUUUCCUAAAUAGCAGCGACGGAGCUGGCUGCAAGAACACUUCAGCAGCUCCUCCGUGCUGCGGUCAAAUCAUUUUUCAGUCAUGUGAAAAUCAACAAGAAAAGACCGUUGGGGUUUCAAACAGCUUUAUGUUCCCAUCUGGCAUCCGAAAAAGGCUCAUUUAACUUAACGCAGCCACAUUUUUCAAACACCUGGUUCUUCCUUGGCAUUCUGUCGAAAAAUCCUUCUUCCAAAACAAGAACGAAAUCUCAGUUAUCACUUAACCGUUCAUCAGCGCGUGUGGCGAGGAACACUCGGGAUCCAUGUGUUUCAGUUUCUGCUAUAGAACUUCAGAACCAACCAUAAUAAGACCUCACCACCGCUGCUGCCUCCUCCACGUGUAUGGAGUGCUUACGCUGGGUGCUCAGUACUGGCUCGAUCAUUCACAUCCUACCUGCCUAGUGAGUUAGGCAUUAUCAUCAACAGCUUUAAAACGAGGAAAUAGAGAUUCAGAGAUGUUGUCACUCGCACAGUUCAUACAGGAAGGAGGACAGAUAGAGCAUCUGACCAACAGGCUUUCCACUAGAGGGUCCUCGAUGCUAUACUGAGCGCCAGUCAGGGCCAGGCAUGUGCUGAGCCCUGGGGAGAUGGCGGGGAACAGCCAAAGCCACUGCUUCAGGAUGUUACAAGACAAAGGGUGGACUGACAACACCAAAGUAAGCAAGAAGCUCACCUGUGACCGCCCAGCUCGAGACAACAGACUGCCACCCUGCUGUGUUCACUGAGACAGAAGACCUACCUGCUGUUUCCAUCAAUAGCUGUGCCGACAGAGCAGUCUCGAGACUAUUGUAAAAGGGACAUUUCAAUCCUAUGUGAAACAUCCUGUUUGGGGGUAUAUAACCACUCUGUGCACUCCACUUCUUUGGUGCCCUUUCUUCCUUCGGGAAGAAAGGCCCCGGGUUAUAAUCCUCAGAUUUAAGCUCAGAAUAAACUCACCCAAAUUUUCA